GGAGAGCUGGAGCAGGGGAGGCGGGGAGGGGGACACUGCCUCCUCUUGGCAGCAGAAGCUGUCAGGUCUGUUCAGCUCGUCUUUUCUACUCGAGGACUGAGUUUGUGGCCCUGGCAUCUCUUCCAAAACAGUUGUUUGGAAGAAAAAAAAAGAAGAGAUAGCAUAGAUGGAAGUCAGACAAAACCACCCUCUGCCCGGUGUCUGGUGAACUUCGUUCUACUGAACUACUCCAGCCUGAUAAAGAGGAUUUUCACACCUUUGAACUGCAGACCGAAGUGCCAAUUGUACGAAAACAAGG